CCCGCGACCCCGCUAAGAACAGAGGGAAAACCCUCACUCGAGAAAAGAAAAAGAAAAAAGGGGGGAAGUUAAAAAGGAAAGCGACGAACUACACCAGCGACAAAUGAAAAAUAAAUUACGUCAAAGAUAUAGGGGACCUCAUCUCAGCGAGGAUGAGGAUUCUUAUCAAAAAUCCUCAGUCUCCAAGAGGGCUCUCAACACAGGCCAAGGAUAAGACGGCUUCCUCAAGACGAUGAGAAGUUCAGACCCCC
rnacentral:lncRNA from 1 species